UCAUCAUCAUUCUAACCAUAAACCCCACCUAUGUGUCUUCUGCCCAGUUAUUGGCUGUCGGCAUCUUUAUUCAUUAAUCAGAAAUAACUUGAGAGCA